UACGUAGGGUGCGAGCGUUGUCCGGAAUUACUGGGCGUAAAGAGCUCGUAGGUGGUUUGUCGCGUUGGUCGUGAAAUGCCACAGCUUAACUGGGGGCGUGCGGGCGAUACGGGCAGACUGGAGUACUGCAGGGGAGACUGGAAUUCCUGGUGUAGCGGUGGAAUGCGCAGAUAUCAGGAGGAACACCGGUGGCGAAGGCGGGUCUCUGGGCAGUAACUGACGCUGAGGAGCGAAAGCGUGGGGAGCGAACAGG
rnacentral:rRNA from 1 species